GACGAACGCUGGCGGCGUGCUUAACACAUGCAAGUCGAACGGAAAGGCCCUGCUUUUGUGGGGUGCUCGAGUGGCGAACGCGUGAGUAAAACGUGAGUAACAUGCCCCUGUAUUUGGGAUAACAUCUGGGAACAGGGGCUAUUACCGGAUAGGAGAUCCUGCUGCACGGUGGGGGUUGGAAAGAUUCGGCGGUUUGGGCUGGAAUGGCGGCUUAUCCGCUUGUUGGUCGAGUAGUGGCGUACGAAGGCUGCGACGGGUAGCCGGCCUGAGAGGUGGGCCGGCCACAAUGGGCCUGCGGGACGGCGCAGUCGGCUACCGGAGGCAGCAGUGGGGAGCAUUGCGCAGUGGGCCGAAGCCUGAUGCAGCGACGUCGCGUUCGUAAUGACGGCCUUCGAGUUGUAAACCGCUUUCUCCGGUGACGAAGCGGGAUUGACGGUAAUUGGUAAGGAAGCACCGGCUAACUACGUG
rnacentral:rRNA from 1 species